UGAAUUUCACCUAAUCGUUAUGAACUUAUAUUCACAAGUAGUGAAGGUUGCUAGUCACAAUCACGUUAAGUAAAUUCUUGGCAUAAGUUUCAUGCAAAUCAUAGUAACGAGUGCCUCGUCAAUGCUUAUGUUUUUCAUAGAACUUAAUGAUUCUUGCUUGUAUCUCUAUUAUGCAAUUCAUGUAGGGACUUGUAGGGAAUGUUUUGGGUUGUCGUAUGCAAUCAUCCAACCCAAUAACUUGUGGAAAAACUGAGGGUUAAUUAGUGCAAUUCACGGUUAAUUUGGGACGUUGAGAUUUACAAUUUAUUGAAAGAACAACUGAAAAUCAUUUUGUAUGCAAGUAUAACAUGUGUGGAGAAGAACCCUCUAGCUAGUCCGUCAUUUAUCAUUUCAUCUUAAUUUCAUGUUUUUGUAAAUUCUGUAAUUUAUUUAAGUUUAAUUUACUUCUUGUUAAAACCAAACACCCCAUCCAUUAUUAAAUUAUAUUAUUUAGUUAGUUUUCAUUAUUGUUAGUCUUUUAAUUAAAUUUCCGUCCAUUUCAGUUCUUAGUGUUUAAUUAGAUCAUUUUCAUUAUUUUGAGUCAUCCUAAGUGUGUUUCGAGUUAUUAGAGUUUUUAGCCUAGUUUUGUAUCCUUGAGUCUUGUUUAAUAUUUUUAAAUUAAUUUAGAAUAGAUUAGCAAUCCCUCCUAAUCUCCGGCCUAGAACGAUACCCUACUUACAUCUAUACUACAAUUGUCAAAAAGAGGGUUUAAUUUGUGUGUCAAGUAAUUCUCACAUCAGGGGUGUGUCAGUUUGAUAUCAGAGCAUAAGUUUGGGCAGUAUUAUGUUCAUCACAUGCGUGAUGUAAACAUUCUUGAUUCUUGAGCCUAAUUUUCGAAUCUUGCCACCUAGUCGAGCAUGAAAAAAUGUGUUAAGUUUUUCUAAGUUUUGAAUGACUUAGACAACUUAUCGACAUUCUAGAACAUCAUUUUGGCGGACGUCUUUAGACAUUAAAUGAAGAAAUCGCAUGCCAAGGAAAAUCCCGAUUUGGUAUGAGUUGAAGGUCCCGAAGUAGGGCUAAUGUAUCGAUAGUUUUGUAUCACCAAAGACUUACCACUCAAUCCCAUCAUUAUUCUCACACCAUAAUUACCAACCCUUUUGAGAUAGGAAACCAUAAAUAGUUUUGAUUCCUUGGUAGUACCCACUAGAAUACCACCUACUAGAAUUCCUACGAAGUUUUACUUUUGUCAAAAUUAUAAAUAAAUAAAAUAAAAUAAAAUAAAAUAAAAAAUAAUUUGAGUGGCAAUGUGGUGCUAUAGUGGUAACACUCAGUGGAAGAACAUCUGGGGGACAAUCACUUUUGGUACCCGAUAGCACUACUCUUCUCAAACACACUAGUUAUCAUUCUGGAUCUUCAAGAGGAAGAUCAAUUUCCAUUUAAGUCCAUUCUAAGGUAAGUUAUUAGCAAAUUCCUUUUUCCAACCUUUGGCCGUUCCAAUCAACACUAUUCCCAGAUUUCCUUUCGAUGUUGUACUCGUCAUUUCAAUGAGUGUAGGCAUGGGAAUACGAGUUAUUAUACCUAUAGUUAGUAGAAAUCCCUGUGUAGGAAGUGUUUUCCCUACAACCAACGGAACCACCUCACAGGACCAGUAUCUUACCAGUCAUCUGAAACUAUCCACCUGAGCGAGCUUUAAUUUGUAAUCAGUCUAUUGUGGCACUACUAAUUGACGAUAUUGUCCGAUAUCCAAGAACUGUCAACCAGUAUUCAGGCGGUAUGAUUUUUGAUACCGGACACAUGCUAGUAUUUGGGAGUGAUACCUUUGUGCCAGAACACCAGUUCACAAUUUCAGGGUAAUGAACAAUAUCAAGUUAUCAUAUAUGCAUUCAUUAGCGGUGCGGAUGAUAGAUUGAUUAACAAUGACUAUCUAAGCUGAAGAAAUUAAAUCGUGGAAACUUAGGAGCAAUUUUUGUGUUAGGACAGUAAACUCAUAGUUGUUUUUGCCUUAUCACCUAUCUAGGUAAACAAAACCUCUUCGAGUAGGCAUCUUUUUUAUCACUUCCACAAGUAGAUAGUAGAAUCAAAGUACGAUUUAAUUUCUCACUGUUAGGGUGAAUUAGGUAUUGAGAAAACUGUGAAGACCUUUUAGUUCGUGUCGUAGAGUUGGGAAGUAGUAUGGUACGUUUUGAGGACAUAUUUCCAGGCGUUAUACUCCAAAAUUUUACUAGAGUUAUCACCAAAUUGUGAAGUAAGAUACAUUAUUGACCUAUUUUCUAAUACAACACCUAUUCUCCUUGCAUCUUAUCGAACGACUCAUAUAGCUUUGAGAAAACUUAGUUAAAAAAGCUUAUUGAUUAGGAAUUAUCCAACCCAAACUAUUAUCGCGAAGAAAUAUAGCUUAAAAAAAGCUUAUUGAUUAGGAAUUAUCCAACCCAACACUUCGCCUUAAGGAACCUCAAACCUAACCGCGAAGGCAAAAUACCGAACUUUAGGUUUGUACCUAGACUUGAACGAGUGAUGAUUAAAACCGUUAACCCCUACUUCAAGUUGAUGGUCAAUCCGACCAACUUUUGGAACUCAAGUUUUCUUCUGUGGCUUGUCGAAUUUGUAGUGGUCUUACCGAUGACUUUCUCACCUUCCAUAGCAACUAGAGCGAAUUUUCUAAACACCGACAGUCAGCUUUAUACCAAAUUCCCCAAAUAUUACCUUAGUUUAGAUUGGUACUUUUCUUAGGAGACAUGAUCUCAGCAGAUGACAUUCUUGUCAAUUUCCAAAAAGGUUUUAAAUGUAGAAAAAUUUCAUAUUCCAUAAAUCGUUGUGAAAUAUGCGAUAUCCUUGGCCUUGUUGAUGUUAUCAGUAGUUUGUUAGUGACUUUUCAGUGGUGGCGUUUUUCCUUUCAUGUUGGCCAAGGAAAAAUCAGUUUAGUUGAGAUGUGGAAUAUGGUUAAAGUUGUAACAACUGAAGUGUUGUCUAUUUUGUACCCUUGUUCAUACAUUUCGAUGACAUCGAUGAUUUCGGAAAUCCAAGAUAACGUUUCCUCUGGAUGUUUUAGAUGUGUGGGGGCAGGAUGACGGGAUAUCACUUUUGUUCCCCAAUGUUUGGAAUCGUUCGAAAUGAACCAUCUUAUUCAUGACCUAGAGUCAACAGUUAUCAUCUUCAUUUGAAAACCGGAUGACACUUCUCUGUGGAGAAACGUGUCCAAAAUCUUCACCAAUCUCACAAACUAUAAAUUAGGAUAACAUAUAUAUAUAUAUAUAUAUAUAUAUAUAUAUAAUUUCCAUAUAGACGAAAUUCAUGCAACUAUACUACGUCCUACGGGAUGCACAGGUAUGCGUAUUAGUAUGGAUGCUUUAAUAGUAAUUACGAUCAUGAAUAGCAUUUCAUUGACUAGGGUUAUUGAAUUAUCGUAUUAUCAAUUUACCAUUGCAUGAUAAUAUUUGUGUUAUCUGCUCAUCGUUUACUGCACAGGUGUUAGUACUCGCACAUACACAUUGCACCUUACACUCACUUUGGAUCCAUUGUAGGUGUCAGUCUUGUCCUAGAUUGCUAUAGGCAAUUAGGAAUCAUAUGUGCUACGCAUAUCGCCAGUCUUCACGUGAUUGUAGUACUAGAGCGUAUAUCAUUGUUACACCUAGUCCUGUUCAUGUCAAAAUAUCUCUGCAUGAACUCGUGUGUCAGCAUGUGUCGAUGAACACUCGAUAUGAUAUGUUUGCUUAUGCGAGAUUAUGUGAUUACGGACGUCAUGCGCUUAUUUACGAAAUAUUGUACCGUUUUGAAUUCUUGAGAUAUUGCAGGCUACAGUAAGUAUUUUCUUACUAUACGUAGUAUGCAUAUUUUGGAAACUAUACUUAUUUUACAGCGAGGGGUUACUAUGUUUUCGAAAAGGUUUUUACAAAACUUUAUUUUUAGGCCCACUCACCCUUGUUUUUUCACCCCUCCAGGUUUUAGUAGCUGAGCUUUCGUAUCGAUGAGGAUUCUUGGCAAAUCUUGGUAUAGGUGGUUACCUUCGAUGGUAUAAUUCUUAUCCUACUUUACUGUACUUUACUUAUGCUUUGACAUCACGUGUGAAAUGGGUUCAUUCCCGCUCACACGCGUACU
rnacentral:lncRNA from 1 species